GCAAACUUGGUCAUUUAGAGGAAGUAAAAGUCGUAACAAGGUUUCCGUAGGUGAACCUGCGGAAGGAUCAUUGCCGAACGGACGCUCGGGUCUCAUCUUCUUCUCGAGGAGGAACCCGGGUGUCUUUUUCGACCAACCCAUGUGAACUCGUUCAAUGUGUUUAACAGUGUUUUGGGGGUCUCCCCAAAACCUGUCCAAAACCCAUUUUUAACAAACCACAUUUCUGAAACACUCUUGACUGAGACUUAUAGGUCACGCCUAAAAACGUUGAUCUCAAAAACCUAACCAUUACAACUUUUAACAACGGAUAUCUUGGCUCGCGCAUCGAUGAAGAACGCAGC
rnacentral:misc_RNA from 1 species